rnacentral:rRNA from 1 species
UACGAAGGGGGCUAGCGUUGCUCGGAAUUACUGGGCGUAAAGGGCGCGUAGGCGGAUAUUUAAGUCGGGGGUGAAAGCCCAGGGCUCAACCCUGGAAUUGCCUUCGAUACUGGAAAGCUUGAGUCCGGAAGAGGUGAGUGGAACUCCGAGUGUAGAGGUGAAAUUCGUAGAUAUUCGGAAGAACACCAGUGGCGAAGGCGGCUCACUGGUCCGGUACUGACGCUGAGGUGCGAAAGCGUGGGGAGCAAACAGG